GACAGAGGAUGCAAGCGUUAUCCGGAAUGAUUGGGCGUAAAGCGUCUGUAGGUGGCUUCUUAAGUCCGCUGUCAAAUCCCAGGGCUUAACCCUGGCCAGGCGGUGGAGACUACUAAGCUUGAGUACGGUAGGGGCAGAGGGAAUUUCCGGUGGAGCGGUGAAAUGCGUAGAGAUCGGAAAGAACACCAAGGGCGAAGGCACUCUGCUGGGCCGACACUGACACUGAGAGACGAAGCUAGGGGAGCGAAUGGG
rnacentral:rRNA from 1 species